rnacentral:rRNA from 1 species
CAGUAGCCACGGUAACACGGAGGGUGCAAGCGUUAAUCGGAAUUACUGGGCGUAAAGCGCACGCAAGCGGUCUGUCAAGUCAGAUGUGAAAUCCCCGGGCUUAACCUGGGAACUGCAUUUGAAACUGGCAGGCUAGAGUCUUGUAGAGGGGGGUAGAAUUCCAGGUGUAGCGGUGAAAUGCGUAGAGAUCUGGAGGAAUACCGGUGGCGAAGGCGGCCCCCUGGACAAAGACUGACGCUCAGGUGCGAAAGCGUGGGGAGCAAACAGGAUUAGAUACCCGCGUAGUCCCUGUCUCUUAUAC